AUAAACAUAAAACAGGUUUAUUUCAACUAUAGACACAAAGCAAACAUUUUUGUUGUGCAUUCCUUGACUAAGGCCUUUAACCAUAAGCUAUGUAAUACCAGACUAGAUCACUAUUGACCGUCCCUCACCUUCCUAAACUGUGCUUAGUGACAGCCGCUGACAAACCUGAGGAAUAGGGAAGCCAACAAUUACACAGUCCCAAACAAACAUGGUAUACAACCAAACCUCCACAAUUUUACCAUCUCUUUCUUCUUUUUCUAUCUAUCUGCCUGUCUCUGUCCCCUUCUCUUUCUCUGUUUUAUGCACACACACACACACACACACACACACACACAGACACACACGCUUCCUUCUCCCUCCCGUCCUUUGCUGAUGUGUCUGGGAGGGGGGCUGAAUCAGGAGCAGGGGGGCUGGUCCCUGGCUUGGCUUUUUUUCUGGGUCACCUCUUGCUGACCCCCAGGUGCUCAGUUCUCUUCUCCGGUGCCUUGUUCAGCCCCCUUUGCUCUUGCUUCUUCAUUUUUUUUCUGAUGUGAAAACAUCCUGGGAAAUUUGCAUAUUUGGCUGUAGUCAGGAGGUCUUGGACAGGGUUUAGUGACUGUGUUGGAACCAUUUGCUAUUCUCUCACUAAUCCCAUAGACAGGAGAUGGGGGAGUGAGGGUGGGUGGAAUCUCACCACUGCCCCCUGAGAGGGAGUAACUGAAUCAAUAGCACUGUAGCUGUUUCCAUCUGUCAGGGUGACAUGCCAACUGGCUAAUGCUGAAUUAUUGAUACUCCUUCCCAAAGUGAGUUAACCAAACAAUUCAAAAUCAGUGAAAAGGGGGUGGUCGAUUGCAAAUGAGGUUAAGUCCAUUUUGUCACAAGGACAGGAAGCUGAUGGCUGCCUCCAAGCCAAAUCUGCUUGAUUUAUGUUAUUGCUGAGAGGCCUGGUCAGUGGCAGAAUGGGAAGCAACCCUCAUCCUCUGACUCCCAAUCCAUGGCAUUGCACCAACAAAUAAAUCAGCACACUUAGGGCAAUGCUGAAGAGACUGGGAAAUGCCUAAUCCGGACAGAGCUUCUGCAA
rnacentral:lncRNA from 1 species